GCUCUGCAUUAUCACCGCGUGACACACUCAGGAGGUUCUGUGUGUUACCCACAUGCUACAGCUUCCCAGACUGGACGUUGCGGCCGUGUGAAUGGUUCAAAAGGUGUCCUAGAGUCUCUCCAUCUACACGCAGUUCAGUAGAGACAUGGCAUCAGUACAUUAUAGCAGCCAAGGGUCCGCACGUUACCUUACGUGGGUACUCAUUAUCGGCUGCCUUUACAUUUAAUUUUUAUGACCUAAAAUAGAACUGCUCAGCAAAGACAACCUGUAAACAAAGAGAUUUUCUGCAAGAGCUUUCAUAGUCAUUGGCAGCGUUUUUGAUUUCUAGGACACACUGACCUGAAAUGUUUUUUCCAUUAUUUGAAGAAAUGACUGAUGAUUCUGCAUUCUUAAAAAUAAACACCACUCGGGGUAUACUAAUGAGCUGUGUUCUUCCAUUUCUUUUGGCCAAACUGAGACUAUGACAUAGUUUUAGAACUAUUAUGGGUCAAAGGCGCCCAUAGAAAACUGUCAGAAUUAAAGAGAAUUUUGUUUAUUUUUCUGUAGUUGUGUUUAUACAGUUGUCAGUGAGACUUUUUCUUUUAUAAAAUGAGUAGAACAUUCCUACAUGUUUUUAUUAUUUCCCAUAAGAACCAUAGCCGUUUCUUAUUUUUUAUGCUCUAAGAAGAGUGAUUUGUAAAUCUUGAGUUUUUUUUUUUAUAAAUUCCUGAUGUACAUUAUUUUUGGUGCAUGUCUGCCUGUGUAUAUGUGUAUGUGUGAGUCAUCACCACUGAGUUUGAAGAAUGAAAUAUCACAACAUAUAAUUUAGCAAUUUAUUUUCCAGUGAACAUUUCUAGUAUAUUUCAAAAAAGGUUUGUUGUAGUAGUCUGUUUUUUCAAAUGUGAAAUCAUGUGUUCUUUUAAAAGAAGUAAGGGACUGGAGUUGUAGUCAGUGGUAGAGUGCUUGCCCAGCAUGAGUGAGGCACCACCAAAAAAGCAAGUAUUUUUCUUAGAAUUUGGCUUGUGUGAGGAACUUCUGCCAUUAGUGAGUGCGCGAAUGUGGAUGAUACUGAAGGCGUUCUGGGCAGUGUGACUCACUCUUCUUAACUUACAAGGCGGACUGAUGAGAUCUCAAAGGAACAUCUGCCCAUUGGAACCAAGAUGAUGUGUAGCUCUACUUAAAAUUACCCAACCAUGCAGCUGGCUUGCUUAAAUCAUUUUCUGGGAAUACAUUUUGUGUUUUGGGAUGUAUGAUAUGUCAUGUUAAAUUUGGUCCCCCUCCCAUGUUAAUUUUGCCAUGUUUCUUUUCACCAUAGAAUUUCUUUUUCUCAAGGAGGGGGAUGACAGGGUAAGAAAGGUAGUCUAUAGAACAGUGGUCCCUGUAAAGAUACGUCCAUGCCCUCAUCCCUGGAAUGUGUGAAUGUGACCUUAUUUGGAUAGAGGGUCUUUGCCAGUGUAAUUAAGUGGAGUAUUUUGAGAUGAAAAGGUGAUACUGUGUGAUCUGGGUGGGCCCUAAAUCAAGUGUUCUCAUAAGAGACCGAAGAGAAGACAGACACAGAGAGGAGGAGGUGCUGUAAAGAUGGAGAGAGAGCAGAGACCAUGCAGCCACUGGCCAAGGAGUGCCCAGCAGUGCCCACUGCCCCAGAAGCAGGGAGAGGCAGGCCCUAGUUUCUCCUGGGGACUGUGGCUGAGGAGGUCCAUUCUGGCUGACUCCUGGAUUUAUUGCUCCUGGCCUUGGGAAGUGUGAGGGCUUAUAUUCCUGCUGUUUUAAGCCACCCAGUUUGUGGUGGUUUGUUAUAGCAACCCAGGAAACUAAUACAGAAAGUUCUUUUCUGCAGUUGUUCAGGAAUGCACAAAAUUAGCGUAGAGGAAAAUAUUGUUAGAAACUCUGGAUCUGGAGUGUAAAGAAUACUUGCUGACAGAAGUACAGCAUGGUUAAAUCUCAGUGUACUUCAAGGCUGGUCAGUUCCUGUGAGGGUCCUACAUUUUUAUGUGAAGCAUGAAGAAAUGAGAGUUUCUUUCUUCCUAACACCAGCUGAUGCCCCACCACCCCCUGAGUGUCCUGUAGUGCAGUUAGGCUCUGAUGCUGACUGCCCAGGGUUCAUGGGGACUCCAGGGCAAAGCACUGUCCGCUAGACUGCCUGCCUUCACUUCAAACACCACUCACAAGUAUGGGGCCUCCUGUUACCCACAUUUUGUCAGCGUGGCUGCGAGUUCGGGAGUUCCACGCCACCCUCUUCAGGUUUGGUACUUUGCCAGAGUGGAUUACAGAACUCAGGAAGGUGUUUUACACAUUUUGUCACAAAGGACACAAAUAAACAGGUCACGGGGCGAGGCCUGGAAGUGUCUGAGCACAGGCGCUUUGGUCCCCUCCUGGCCAGUGGAGGUGCUCACAACUGGGCAGCUCACUGAAGCGGGUCCUUUUUUGGAGGCUUUUCUGGAGGCUUCCUUACAUAGGCACGAUCGAUGAAGUCAUCGGCCAUCGGGAUUAGCUUCUCUCCAGCCCCCUCUCCUCCCUAGGAUUGGGAGUGGGGCUCAGAGUUCCACCUUCUCAUCAAGCCUUGGUCUUUCUGGGGUCCAGCUGCCAUCCUGAGGCUAUCUAGGGGCUUGGCAAGAGUCACCCUUGUCAACCUUUAUCAGGCCCUGCGGGAGCAGCUAAAGAUGUAGCAGAAGAAUCGAUAACAGAAGAUGACAAGAGGAGGUAUGUUUGGUGUUGCACCUGGCUUUAAUUUAAUCAUUCUGACCACACCUCAUGGAUUGAACACUCUGUAGCACAUUACCAAUAACACAGAGUCCAUGGGAAGCUUUGGCACACAGAACACAGAAACUAUGGAGGAGUAUAUGUUGGCCUUCCAUCUGAAGCUGUCAGUAUGGUGUCCAAUCAAACCAAGACUGUACGAAAAAAUUAGAGGAAAAUAACAUCCCGACUCAAUAAUCAAGAG